ensembl:lncRNA
GUGAGUAUACUGUGUGUUUAAUGUUAUUACUGUGAGUAUACUGUGUGUUUAAUGUUAUUACUGUGAGUUGUUUAAAAGUCAUGAAAGCUCAUAAAGGUUAUUACUGUGAGUAUAGUGUGUGUUUAAUGUUAUUACUGUGAGUAUAGUGUGUGUUUAAUGUUAUUACUGUAAGUAUAAUGUGUGUUUAAUGUUAUUGCUGUGAGUAUAGUGUGUGUUUAAUGUUAUUGCUGUGAGUAUAGUGUGUGUUUAAUGUUAUUACUGUGAGUGUAGUGUGUGUUUAAUGUUAUUACUGUGAGUAUAGUGAAAGUUCUUAAAGGUUAUUACUGUGAGUUGUUUAAAAGUCAUGAAAGCUCUUAAAGGUUAUCACUGUGAGUUGUUUAAAAGUCAUGAAAGUUCAUAAAGGUUAUUACUGUGAGUUGUUUAAAAGUCAUUAAAAGCUCAUAAAGGUUAUUACUGUGAGUUGUUUAAUGUAUCACCCUCCAAGGGCUUUAAUACAAAAUGAAUCAUUUUACAAUUGCAAUUAUACAUAAACCCCAUAGCAUCAUGUCUUAUUUC